rnacentral:tRNA from 1 species
GGCCCCGUCGUCCAGAGGCCUAGGACGCCGGCCUUUCAAGCCGGAAACGCGGGUUCGAAUCCCGUCGGGGCCACCA